rnacentral:rRNA from 1 species
CUCUUCCCAUUCCGAACAGAGUAGUUAAGCCUGCCAGCGCCAAUGAUACUGCUAUACCAAGUGGGAAAGUAGGUCGUCGCCGAAC